CCGAGUUUACAACUCCCAAACCCCUGUGAACAUACCACUUGUUGCCUCGGCGGAUCAGCCCGCUCCCGGUAAAACGGGACGGCCCGCCGGAGGACCCCUAAACUCUGUUUCUAUAUGUAACUUCUGAGUAAAACCAUAAAUAAAUCA
rnacentral:misc_RNA from 1 species